UACGUAGGGGGCGAGCGUUGUCCGGAGUUACUGGGCGUAAAGCGCACGCAGGCGGUCCUCUGCGUAGAGGGUGACAGUCCUCGGCUUAACUGAGGAAGCGCUCUUUAAACGGGGGGACUUGAGGGCCAGAGAGGGAGACGGAACUCCGGGUGGAGCGGUGAAAUGCGUAGAGAUCCGGAAGAACACCGAAGGCGAAGGCAGUCUCCUGGCUGGUUCCUGACGCUCAGGUGCGAAAGCGAGGGGAG
rnacentral:rRNA from 1 species